rnacentral:lncRNA from 1 species
AAAAUAAUUUGUGAUAUGUAUGUUAAAAUGAGGUUAAUGCAGAGAAAGUGUGAAAGAGUGAAUUAGCAAUAAAACUGUUUUGAACAGUAGCAGUGAUGUGAUUUUUAAAAAUCACCAAAAAUAGUAUAAAUUUAAUCAGAGACUGAAUGGAAUAUCAAAUUAAAUCUUAAUGAGUCUAUUUUCAUAUAAAGGAAAUAGAGCAAGCAAAGGAGUUCU